UAAUCUGCGAUAAGCGCCGGUAAGGUGAUAUGAACCGUUAUAACCGGCGAUACCCGAAUGGGGAAACCCAGUGUGACUCGUCACACUAUCAUUAACUGAAUCCAUAGGUUAAUGAGGCGAACCGGGGGAACUGAAACAUCUAAGUACCCCGAGGAAAAGAAAUCAACCGAGAUUCCCCCAGUAGCGGCGAGCGAACGGGGAGGAGCCCAGAGCCUGAAUCAGCAUGUGUGUUAGUGGAAGCGUCUGGAAAGGCGCGCGAUACAGGGUGACAGCCCCGUACACAAAAGCGCAUGUGCUGUGAGCUCGAUGAGUAGGGCGGGACACGUGGUAUCCUGUCUGAAUAUGGGGGGACCAUCCUCCAAGGCUAAAUACUCCUGACUGACCGAUAGUGAACCAGUACCGUGAGGGAAAGGCGAAAAGAACCCCGGCGAGGGGAGUGAAAAAGAACCUGAAACCGUGUACGUACAAGCAG
rnacentral:rRNA from 1 species